AAGCCUGAUCCAGCAACGCCGCGUGAGGGAUGACGGCCUUCGGGUUGUAAACCUCUUUCAGCGGGGACGAAGCGCCGGUAAUGGUGGUGACGGUACCCGCAGAAGAAGCACCGGCCAACUACGUGCCAGCAGCCGCGGUAAUACGUAGGGUGCGAGCGUUGUCCGGAAUUAUUGGGCGUAAAGGGCUCGUAGGCGGUUUGUCGCGUCGGGAGUGAAAACACCGGGCUUAACUCGGUGCUUGCUUUCGAUACGGGCAGACUAGAGGCAUGCAGGGGAGAACGGAAUUCCUGGUGUAGCGGUGAAAUGCGCAGAUAUCAGGAGGAACACCGGUGGCGAAGGCGGUUCUCUGGGCAUGUCCUGACGCUGAGGAGCGAAAGUGUGGGGAGCGAACAGGAUUAGAUACCCUGGUAGUCCACACCGUAAACGUUGGGCGCUAGGUGUGGGGCCUAUUCCAUGGGUUCCGUGCCGCAGCUAACGCAUUAAGCGCCCCGCCUGGGGAGUACGGCCGCAAGGCUAAAACUCAAAGGAAUUGACGGGGGCCCGCACAAGCGGCGGAGCAUGCGGAUUAAUUCGAUGCAACGCGAAGAACCUUACCUGGGUUUGACA
rnacentral:rRNA from 1 species